CACCCCCGUGGUGACUAGUGCCACAGUGAGUUACCGCGGGGUUUGGGCAAAGGAUAGUGUGGCAGCGUUGCAUGAUCUUGGGCUUGGGCGCUACGACGUCAAGUUGAUGACCGUGCGCGCGCUUCAGGGUGGGGGUUCGGUGUUUCCGUGUUCACCAAAAGAUGACCACCGUGGUGACACGGGCGAUGAUCCGCAGAUAAUGGCCGUCCCAGGGCCUGUUGUCCCAGAAUAGGACAUUAAAUGGUCCCUCUUCCCUACCAUCGUAAAGAGGAUAAGUGUAUUCCAGGGCGUUGGGCGGCCGAAGGGCAUCCCCAGAGCUCUGAGAAAGAGCGGGGUGAGCCAGUAGCUCUUUGCGCCCUCCAAGUCCUUUAAGACCUAGGACUUCCACCCUUUUUUUUUUGGAGGUUGAGUGAUUACUUCCUUCAAUAUAUUUUUUUUUGGUGGGAGGGGUUGGUCCAGAAUUUCUGGUACCUACAGCAAAUUGCUCCUAGGCCAGGGGCUGUUUGGCCUCCUCUGCCCUGCGGUCCCUGGUGCUCUGGAGUACAAAAAAAAAUAACCAAAUGCCUCGUCAUCUAAUUAGUGACGCGCAUGAAUGGAUUAACGAGAUUCCCACUGUCCCUAUCUACUAUCUAGCGAAACCACAGCCAAGGGAACGGGCUUGGAAAAAUCAGCGGGGAAAGAAGACCCUGUUGAGCUUGACUCUAGUCUGACUCUGUGAAGAGACAUGAGAGGUGUAGCAUAAGUGGGAGGCCGUGAACCCUCGCGGUUGUGUCGUGCCGUCAGUGAAAUACCACUACUUUCAUCGUUUCUUUACUUACUCGGUGAAGCGGAAAGCGGACCAUGAGUGUCCACGCUUCUAGCACUAAGUGCAAGGCCCUUCGUUGGCCCGCACGAUCUGUUCCGAGGACAGUGUCAGGCGGGGAGUUUGACUGGGGUGGUACAUCUGUCAAAUGGUAACGCAGGUGUCCUAAGGCGAGCUCAGCGAGACAGAAACCUCGCGUAGAGCAAAAGGGCAAAUGCUUGCUUGAUCUUGAUUUUCAGUACGAU
rnacentral:ncRNA from 1 species